rnacentral:piRNA from 1 species
CUCUGAAUGUGGGUGCCAGCUGGGAGGC